UACGUAGGGGGCAAGCGUUGUCCGGAUUUAUUGGGCGUAAAGAGCGUGUAGGCGGCCAUACAGGUCAGCUGUGAAAACUCGAGGCUCAACCUCGAGACGUCGGUUGAAACCGUAUGGCUAGAGUCCGGAAGAGGAGAGUGGAAUUCCCGGUGUAGCGGUGAAAUGCGCAGAUAUCGGGAAGAACGACCCGUGGCGAAGGCGGGUCUCUGGGCCGAUACUGACGCUGAGGAGCGAAAGCGUGGGGAGCGAACAGG
rnacentral:rRNA from 1 species